rnacentral:rRNA from 1 species
AAAGUCUGACGGAGCAACGCCGCGUGAACGAAGAAGGUCUUCGGAUUGUAAAGUUCUGUGAUUCGGGACGAAAGGGUUUGUGGUGAAUAAUCAUAGACAUUGACGGUACCGAAAAAGCAAGCCACGGCUAACUACGUGCCAGCAGCCGCGGUAAUACGUAGGUGGCAAGCGUUGUCCGGAAUUAUUGGGCGUAAAGCGCGCGCAGGCGGUUUCUUAAGUCCAUCUUAAAAGCGUGGGGCUCAACCCCAUGAGGGGAUGGAAACUGGGAAGCUGGAGUAUCGGAGAGGAAAGUGGAAUUCCUAGUGUAGCGGUGAAAUGCGUAGAGAUUAGGAAGAACACCGGUGGCGAAGGCGACUUUCUAGACGAAAACUGACGCUGAGGCGCGAAAGCGUGGGGAGCAAACAGGAUUAGAUACCCUGGUAGUCCACGCCGUAAACGAUGGAUACUAGGUGUAGGAGGUAUCGACCCUCCUGUGCCGAGUUAACGCAAUAAGUAUCCCGCCUGGGAAGUCGAUCGCAAGAUUAAACUCAAAGGAAUUGACGGGGCCCGCACAAGCGGUGGAGUAUGUGGUUUAAUUCGACGCAACGCGAGAACCU